rnacentral:lncRNA from 1 species
UGUGUGUUAUCAGCCCGGGAGCCACCGGCUCAUAUGACGGUUAUUUUGGAGAAUAUUAGAUUUGGCCUCGUUUUCAAAACCUGAAGGGGCGGCCGUCCCAAAUAUGGCGGGAGAAGCAGGCAUAGAGACAGUGACCUAAAGUGUUGACAGUUCAAAGGCUUGUAUUAUAACAAUUAAGAUGUCAGUGUUACACAGCUGAAUAUACAUGUACAUUCCCAAGUAGCUUGAAGAACAUGAAAGGGACCAGGAUUAAUCAUUUUGCCAUUCCUUGGCAAUUAUGACAGAAGCUCAAGCACCUAUCAUGCAGCCAUAAAUAAAGUUAUUUAAUCCUUUUAAAACUGAAAACAUUCUUUGAAAACUUGGUUACAGUUCUUUCCAAUGAAUGAAAUACAUAAACAUAUUCAUGUAAUAUCAUUAUAAAUGUGGAAGUUUUUAAAGAAGUUUGGCUGUGAAAUCACCACUAUAUGACACUUACAAAAAUAAAUUCAAAUGAAAAUAUAGACUGGUACAGGGCUAAAUGGUAUUAGUGAAAUAUAUUGCUCAUCCCAGGUAAAUUUAUGAAAUUAUAUUAAUUGUUUACAUUGAUCCUGUUUUUAAAAGGAGUAGUGUGUCCUGUGGCUAAAACAGUAUGUUAUGAUCAAGAAGUGUAAAAUAAUUGCCAUAUCAAUGCGUUGCAAAAGUAAAAAAAAAUUUUUGCCACAAAUAUACGUUUUUUUUUGCAUCAGCUUUAACCCCUGUUGGCUGUCACAAUAUUGAUAUUUUUUGUUGAUGAUAUUAUGUUUUAAAUGUCAUAUUAUAGUUGUUCACAUGUAAAAAAAAA